rnacentral:rRNA from 1 species
UGGGGAAUAUUGGACAAUGGGGGCAACCCUGAUCCAGCCAUGCCGCGUGAGUGAUGAAGGCCUUAGGGUUGUAAAGCUCUUUCGCCGGUGAAGAUAAUGACGGUAACCGGAGAAGAAGCCCCGGCUAACUUCGUGCCAGCAGCCGCGGUAAUACGAAGGGGGCUAGCGUUGUUCGGAAUUACUGGGCGUAAAGCGCACGUAGGCGGAUUGUUAAGUCGGGGGUGAAAUCCCAGGGCUCAACCCUGGAACUGCCUCCGAUACUGGCAGUCUUGAGUCCGAGAGAGGUGAGUGGAAUUCCGAGUGUAGAGGUGAAAUUCGUAGAUAUUCGGAAGAACACCAGUGGCGAAGGCGGCUCACUGGCUCGGAACUGACGCUGAGGUGCGAAAGCGUGGGGAGCAAACA